rnacentral:rRNA from 1 species
UACGUAGGGUGCAAGCGUUGUCCGGAAUUAUUGGGCGUAAAGAGCUCGUAGGCGGUCUGUCACGUCGGCUGUGAAAACCCGGGGCUCAACCCCGGGCCUGCAGUCGAUACGGGCAGACUAGAGUGCGGUAGGGGAGACUGGAAUUCCUGGUGUAGCGGUGAAAUGCGCAGAUAUCAGGAGGAACACCGAUGGCGAAGGCAGGUCUCUGGGCCGCUACUGACGCUGAGAAGCGAAAGCAUGGGGAGCGAACAGG